GUUCGACCAAAUCCUUACGUCUAUGGCCACGGUGAAGAAACGUCAGAGAAAUUGGCCGUGAAUUUACUUUUAUGAUUUAAAAGGUCCAAUUUUGUGUUACUGUGAGCCCUCGUCUAAGUUUCCCUGUGAACCAGUUGUUUUAUACUUAUUUAAAGGAAUUAAAGUACUCUUGGAGUGAUGGCAACGAACGAAGCAAAGAAGGACCAACCAAUUGAUGACAUUGAAGAUGCUAUGAGUGAAUUAAUGAACACCGAAAGCUAUAUUAUGGUAGACAUUGGAGCCAACCUCACCAAUAAAAAGUUCACAAGGGACUUAGACUCCGUAGUAUCUAGAGCUCGCGAUGCAGGAGUUCAGAAGAUAAUGGUAACGGCAUCACAGUACACAGCAGCAAAGAAGCACUUCGCCUGACUCGCCUCUUCCCAGAGACCUUGUACUCAACAGCUGGUAUGGAUCUCAUGUUAUUGUGUUUAUUGUGAUC